CCCUUAGAUGUUCUGGCCGCACACGCGCUACACUGAAGGAGGCAGCGUGUACUCCUGGAUCGAAAGAUUUGGGUAACCCGCGAAUCUCCUUCGUGCUAGGGAUUGAGGUUUGCAAUUAUCCUUCAUGAACGAGGAAUUCCCAGUAAGUGCAAGUCAUAAGCUUGCGCUGACUACGUCCCUGCCCUUUGUACACACCGCCCGUCGCUACUACCGAUUGAAUGAUUUAGUGAGGACUUCGGACUGGGACCGAUGCGGCUUUCGGGCUGCGUCGGUAUUCUGGAAAGAUGUCCAAACUGUAUCAUUUAGAGGAAGUAAAAGUCGUAACA
rnacentral:rRNA from 1 species